UCCCAGCCCUUCUGAGCACGUGGUACCCCUUGCUCUGGGACCUGGGCCCCUUGUGGUAGCAGAAUCAGAGCACAGAGGACAGGACAAUGCCUGGGGGCUUAGAGCAAGACCCAGUGUGUUGCUGGAGGUCUCAGGUGGAGCUGGUGGAGCCUGAAGAAAAGUGGAACCACCCAGCCAAGCCAAGAAGGGUUAGUACUUCUGCUCUGAGAGCAGACCUCACACAAACAGAUGGGAAGCAGAAACAAGGGAAGAGGAUUGAAGAUGAACCCACGUUUUAAAAGUCCUUGUCUGCCGGAGGUGGCAUUACCUGUGACCUCGCUUCACUUCUUCAUACAUGGCUGUUGUAGCAGGCAUGGAUUCCUGAGGUUUGCUCCUUGACACCACGAAACAAUUUGAUAGCAUGAAAAAGUGCUGGAGAUGAAAGGCUGAGAGAAUGUGGGAAGCCUUGGUCAAGUCGAAAAAGAAAUCUGGAAAAGAGAAGAUGCCUAAUGAAGAUGGAUGACUUACGUCUCAGUUUGAUAUCUAACGGAAACCAAAAAUCAAAUGCAAAAGUAUGAGCAGGUUUCAUCAAACAAAUACCAGGCAGCCACAUUUUCUUAUAUCUUUGUUCAUGGCGUUUUUUCAGACUCGAAGGGCGGGAGAAGAAUGCUUGGAGCAGGGCUCCUUGUCUGUUCUGAGACCAUACUGCCAUCCUGCGGUCACAGUUUGAUCGGGCUCAAGCUGUGAGCUGUUCCUCCUUGAGGACCUGGUCCGGCCAAUGGAAGAGAAAACAGAACCCGAACUCGAGCCUGGCCUCUCUACCUUUUCCUCUGUGGUCUGGCAGGAGCAGGGACGGUCAGUCUGUGGGCUUGUCUGACCCGUGAGGGGCCAGGACCCAGGAGCCAGCCAGCCGCUUCCAGUACAUUCCUGAUUUUCAUUCCCUUGAGCAACUGCAGUCUCCUAGAUGUCCCGGCUCACACCUCCAAGGCGGUGGAUGCCCAUUCUUUCCAUUCAGGCCCUUCUUGCCCCAAGCCAUGCUACUUGAGACCUUUGGUCCCCCUCAACUCCAUCAGUGACGCCGGCUCUUUAGGGUACUUGGCACUGGCCAGUCCCUUGCGCUCUGUUGCCCCUGUCACAAUGGGCCCAGACCCCACAACACAGGGGUGACCAGGAGGCCUGAACCCCAAAGGGCAGAUUCUCAAGACAAACGCCCCCGUUCUCCUGGCUCGGCUCUAAGUCCAGCCCACACUUUGGCAACUGAGGCCCCGCCUCCCUCCUUCCUGUGACUGGACUUCCUGGCAGCAGCUGGAGGGCUCCGGGCGCUGGGCCCUCCGUGAUCAGAGGCUAAGCCCAGAACCUGACUGUCCGCUGAUCCUGCCAGAUCACAGAGAAAAAGGGAGGGAGGCCAGGCUUGAGUUCAGGUUCUGUUGGUUCUGCGUCGCUCUGACCCGCCUCCCCUGCUAGGCCUUGCAAGGAAGAGCAGCUCACAGCGUGGGCCCGACCGAACUGUUUCCGCAUGAUGGCAGUACUGUCCCAGAACAACCAAGGAGCCCUGCUCCAAGGAUUGGUCUCCCGCCCUUCCAGUCUGAAAAAACACUGAACAUUCAAAGGCCUUAGGAAAUAUGGCUGGUUUGAGGAAACCGGCUCCUAGUCUUUUCAUUUAAUUUAUGGUUUCCAUUGAAUAUCAAAUUGUGAUCUCAGUGACUCAGCCUCAUCAGGCAUCUUCUCUUUUCCAGAUUUAAGUCCUUUUUUCAUUAACUAUGUAUAAUUACCAUAAACUGCAUAAUUAAAUAACUACUUUUGUC